rnacentral:rRNA from 1 species
ACAUACGACCAUAGGGUGUGGAAAACAGGGCUUCCCGUCCGCUCAGCCGUACUUAAGCCACACGCCGAUGAGUUAGUAGUUGGGUGGGUGACCACCAGCGAAUCCUCACUGUUGUAUGUU